UGACUAGAGGGUCAGUCAGGUAGAAGAUCAACAGCAAGUAUACUCCUCACUUCUUCAUGGUGACCGUUGUGUCUAUGAGUCCAUCAGAUGGUCUAAAAACACUGAAAAUGGUCUGGGUCACGGUAGCAGCAGCCAAAGCAGAGAAGCCCAAACCUCCCUCUCCCCACCCACCUCCUCCAGUUUAUCUGCAGGAACGCUGAGGUGCUCGCAGGCCAGCCGAGACACUUAAUCUCUUGAGUGUAUUCUGGGUCUGCCCUGGGUUUCAUCUUCGUCAACCCCAAAGGAACCAAAUUAAGGGACUAGUCUAGCCUACCCGGGAUAGGCUUCCCAGGACCCCACCCUGGAAUCAAAUCUGGGAACGGUGCUCAAGGAAGCAUCUGGUGACUGGGCGCAACCUGAAGAGGAGACAUGGGCCUGUGGGGCCACCACCCGCAUGAGACAUCAUGGGAGUGGGGUGUAAUGUGGGGCAUAAUGUGUGUUGGGCGUUGAUCUGAUCCGUGGCCUUUGGGGCAUAACAGUGUUUUCAUUUGAUCAACUUGAGGCAGCUGGUGACAAAAUGUAGUCUUAUCCAGGAUAUUGGUCACGUAGCCAAAUACUAUACCAUAAAUUACUAUAACUACUUUAUGCUGCACUGAAGCCACAUUUCAACUUAGAUAAGCAUUUAGGAAACCACAAACUUUCUUAGCCAUCAAGCUUAAACGUUACUCUUACCAAUGGGUCUAAGGAUGGCUAAAAGUAGGUGGCAAGGAGGGAGUCCACAAUAGAGGUUUGCUUAAAUAAAAUAUUAUAAAAUAUAAAUUAGAUUUACUUAUAAAUUAAGCAUUAAUACAUUAAACAUAAAUUAAGCAUAGAAACCACUAAUAGGUUAAUGCCAGCUGGAGUGGAAGAGAGAGUGAAUAUUUUGGUCUGGAAGACAGAUGAGCUGAUGAUGCCAGCCAAUCAUCAAUAAGACCAGACAAGGACUUAACAAUGGGAGUUGAACUGCAUUAACCUGAUUACCAAACAUGAU